CCUCCAGGCCCCGCCCCCUGGCCCAACGGCUUGCGUCAGCGCGCCGCCAUGGUCUCACUAUGUAGUUCAGACUGGCCUUCAACUUGGGAUGAUCCUCCUGCCUCCUGAGUGCUGGGAUUGCAGGAUCUCACUAUGUCACUAACUUGCCCAGACUGGGCUCAAACGCAGAGAAGUCUGAUAAUGUGAGAAAUCACGCCAUGAGGAGUCCUGGAUAGCCAGGGGAAAGACCAUGUGAAGAGAGUCUGUGGCCCAGCCUCCCCGCCGAGGACUUGUGUGCAGAAGCCAGCUUGGGUGGCUGUGCUCAGUCAGGACUUCCACAGACUGCACCCCCAGCGCCUCUGAUUGCAACUGCGUGAGCGCCGGUACAUGGGAACCAUUCAGCAAAGCCCCACUCAUCUUCACAGCUCUGAGAAAUAAUCAUAAACUGUGUUAAGUCGUUAAAUUCUGAAGUUAUUUGUUGCUGUGGUUGGGAUACAUGUUCCCCAGAGGUCAUGGGUUACAGGUCUAUCCCCAGCUUGGAACUACUGGGAGGCAGUGGAAACUGUAAGACCCAGGGCCUGGUGGGAGGUCAUUAGUCUUGUGGCUGUGGCCUUCAAGGGAAUUCAACGACAGUCCCUUCUUCUUCCUCCCUUUCACUUCCUGUCCAGUGCCACACACUCCCCACCACUGCCAUCUGCCAGCAGAGGCCUAAAAGUAACAGAUCCGCCUGAUUAUGGACUGGGACCAGAAUAAACAGC
rnacentral:lncRNA from 1 species